rnacentral:rRNA from 1 species
GACGAACGCUGGCGGCGUGCCUAACACAUGCAAGUCGAGCGGGGAUUUACGUGGAAGUUCUUCUGCAUGGAGAUUUAAAUUCUAGCGGCGGACGGGGGAGCAACGCGUGAACAAUCUGUUCCGUACAGGGGGAUAACACUUGUAAACAGGUGCUAAUACCGCUUAAGACCACGGGCUGGCAAGGUGCUGAGGUUGAAGAUGCAAUCGGGGUUGGGGAGAGUUCGCGUGGGAUUGGCGAGUUGGUGGGCUUACGGCACACCCAGGCCAGGGUCGGUAGCCGGCCUGAGAGGGUGAACGGACACAUGGGAACUGAGAGACGCUACACACCCAUGGGGGGGGGAGCAGUGGAAAAUAUUGGGAAAUGGGGGAGAGCGUGACACAGAAGCGGCGUGUGAGAGAAGGAGGUUCUCGGAUUGUAAACCUCUGUCCUAUGAGACGAAGGAAGUGACGGUACCAUAGGAGGAAGCCCCGGCUAACUACGUG